GAUUGGGCUGCGAUCACGGAUUGCAGUACAAAAAAUGUAUUUAUUAUGAACUCUCUGCCACACAUCGGGUCCAACAGCAUCCCGGGUAUCACCACUAGUGGGCCCAGCCAGUGCUGUACUGCUGCCUCGGUCAGACACCGGGAGGAUGAGGCCUGCCAGUCCUGCCCCGAUAUACCCCUCAUUUACCCGGGGCGGUUAGCAUGGUUCGGGCUAUGGCUGCACCCAUCGCACAUUUCGACGACGACCGGCCGAACUUGGGGGAUCUGACCGCGGGUUCGGUGCCUCAGUACGGGCGAGCGGAGGUCGGCCCCGCCGCGGGGGAAGCGGUGGCUCAGCCUAUUCUGGAUCACGACGAUCCUCCAGGGCAGGCUGACGGUGACGGUUCCCCGGAGGAAUCCAGUGGGUGCAGGUCCACGGAGGAGUUGGUUAAUGGUGAUGAGAAGUUACCGGCAUGCUUCGGAAAACUAAAGGCCAAGCCGGAGAGGAUCGGUCCAGUGAGUGUGUUCACAGAGGAGACCCUGGUGGAGAAAGACGAAAUCUGGAAAGCUCUGGCCUCUAACUAUGGCCAGGUGAUGCCGGUGGAUUGGAAACAGUCUCGGACUCGCUCCCUCUACAUUUCCACGUUCAACCUUGAGGAGAGACCUAGAGAGACAUAUGAUGCGGCAGAGCUGUCUGACGAGGACGAACUGAGGGAGCAGCUGGACAUGCACUCCAUCAUUGUCCCCUGUCUGGACCAGGAGCCCCUUGUUACGGCAGAGCAGGUCAUCGAGGAGAUCGAGGAAAUGAUGCAGGACUCACCGGAUGCGGAGCGUAAUCCCUCCCAGUCGGACCUGUCCAUGCUCUCUGUGGAUAUCCAACGGAGCAGCCCCGGUUUCGAGGACAGACUGAGAUCCAUGAGUGUUGCGGAGCUGCUGGAGCGUCUGGCAGAGACAGAGGUGAACAUCAGGAGGUUUUCUGAGGAGCUAGUGCAGCAGCUGGCCGUCAGAGACGAGCUGGACUUCGAGAAGGAGGUGAAGAACAGUUUUAUCUCAGCGCUCAUCGAUGUGCAGAACCGGCAGAAGGACUACAGGGAGUUGCUGAGGAAGAAGAAGAAGCUCAAAGGUGGAGCAGGACCAGCUCAGAUUCUCACAGAGAGAACACCAGGAUCACGCUUCAGCAUGGAUGGCCUCUCCUCCGUUAUUCAAAACAGCUUCCGGCAAACAUUCGGCUCUGGCUGCAGUGAAAGACAGGUUCUACUCCUCACAUAGCCACAAGCUUUAUCUUUUCUAUUCAUUUCUUUCAGUUUUUUGCCCUGGAAAUUUUACUUUUCUAUCAUCACAAAUGUAUGCUUAGCAGUUAGUUAUUAAACCUGUCUGUGUCCCUGCUCUCCUGCGGUUCACAGUAUUUGACCACUGUCAUUCCCUAUGAGAAAAAGGGACUACCUCCGUCGGUUGAAGACCUCCAGAUCCUGACAAAGAUUUUGCAAGCAAUGAGAGAUGACAGCGACAAGGUGCCUGGUCUCUUAACGGACUAUAUUCUCAAUGCUCUGGUCUGAGCGAUGGAUAGCGAGGUUUGUGGCACAUUCCUGUGUGACAUUGUGGUUGUCCUGUCGCCUACAAGGCGAGAGCGCCCCCUCUCUUCCAAAGAAUGUAGUUCAGUCAGACCUCCCCUGCUCUUUACUGUUGAGCCUCUGCGGUAAAAUGAGUUUUUAUCUAACAUAACAAGCAUCUCGAAGUAAGUUAGUAAAGAUUGUGUUUUUGCUUGUAUUCAAAAAGACAGUAUUUAGAUAUUUCCUUUUUGUCCUGAUCUUUCUCCCUGAUCCCUUGUGCUUCCACCGAUAUCUUUUUAAUAAUCACAUUCUUCUUUCUGUCAGUGUUUUGUCCGACAUAGAUGGAGCCUGGUGAUCUGCACACAGUUUGAAAGAAGAGGACUUGUGAAGCACACUUAAUUUAUUCCUGAACGUUUUUACCUCCAUGCGUGUAAUUUGUGAUCCGUCUUUUAUUUAUGUGUGUUUAAGCUGACGAUUGUGAUCUGCAAACAGGUGCAUUCUUGCAAAGUUUCACUUUUUGUUUUGACAUGUAUAAAGUUUUUCUAAAGGUGUUUCUUCUUUUGUAAGGGGAUUGCAUCAAACAUUUGAAUAUUUUAUUAAGGGCAAAGCUGUAAAGCUAAGGGCUACGUAUUUACAAAACAUCAACUAAUGUUCCGAGCAGAGAAACAAGGGCAUCUAAAGUAGAGUAUUUUUAAAAAGAGCAAAACAUUUUAUAAGCAUAAACAGAAAGGCCAGAUAAGAUCAUUGUCAGAGCGCAAGAAACAGAUCAGAGGAGUGGAAUAAGCAGCAAACAGAUAUUUAUAAGAAUACAAAACAAAUCUAAAUCCAGUCUCUAUCACCGUGAUGUCACGGUGUUGUACUUACACCAUAGAUAUUUAUACAAUAUACUGAGCUGAUGCAAGCUGGACUGGCAAUAAGAAACAAUCAAUGCAUGUGAGGAAAAACCUAAUCUGACCCAUUCACUGUCUGUACUUUGGAGACGCCGACUGGAACUGAGAGCUCGCAGGAUGGUGUACACCGCGACCCCUACUGUGUUUCUACCAGCUGCCUUUGACUGAACUUUUCUACAUCAUGGCAAUGAAUGGUGAAUGACAUGUUAAUACACUACCUACAGAGGCCGCAUUGCUAUUUAUUUAUUUAUUUAUGUAAAUAUUGUAUUUGAAUAAUAGAAAUCAGAAUAUGUUUACUACCGAGUAUUGAAUAAUAAAGAGAGUGAUGAGAAAACUCA